GUGGACAAUAUUACACUAUUUUUAAGUGUUAUUGUGUAAUUGAAUUCACAUCCAUGGUGCCUCAACAUCAUUUGGAUAGCUAUAUAUCUGCAAGUUAUUCUUUUUGUACAUGCUUAUCUUCUUCAUAUGUAUUGUUCCUAUAUUAUUUAUGCAAAAUUGUAUACUACUUUUCUUUGAAUUAUACCUCCUUAGAUUGCCAUGAAGAAAUAGUAUAUUAUAUUUUCUUUGAUUUUAUUGUUGCUAAUAAAAAGCCUUUUAGAUAGGUGAAUGUAGACCUCACAUUAACUAUAUUAUCGCACCUUCUGAAGUUUCUAACUGUUUGUACAUGGCCCCAGUCUUCAAAUGAUAAUGACGACCAAUUGACCAUAGGUUGAGAUAUUGGUUCUACCAUUCAGGCAUUCAACCUUCAACAUAUCGGACAUGUGUUGUGUUGCUGUCUCAUGUCCUGAGAUGGACCAGCAAAACAAUCUCCAUGUUUACAUUACUAACGCAUGAGCACGUCCGAAAAUGAGUGUUCCUUAGGGCAAUCUGGCAUAUGAGAUGGGAAGCAAGCCACACGGCAAUUUCUGCAGGAGUUCAUGAACUCGGGGUCCUAAGUAAUCAUAGGAGGAGUCACGGGUUAUGACGAGCUACAGGUCCACUUCAUAGAUGGAUUCAGCGAAUAUAAAUGCAGCUGUGCGGAAGACCUGACGAUAGCGUGUCUGCUCGGACACUUUGAUUUGGAACGACCAAGACUGAAUGUGUAACUGAUUUAUAUAUUUUAGAAAAAAUUGUUUUACCAUGUAGACAAAUUCUUUAAGCUAUAUAGAUUAACAUUAUAUGGGAUCCCUCUAUCAAUUAGAAUCACUUGACGGGCGCGGCGUGGCGCCGCGCCAAUGCUUCCUAGUUGAUCUGCAUGGACUGAUAAUUUUUCUAUCUCAAACAUGACAAUGCCAUCUAUUCUUAAAGAGGACAUCUAGAAGAAAACAUCUUCAGCAAUGGGGUUUUCUGCACAUGUAUUUUUCAGCAGCAAUGCUGCAGUGCUGGAGGCACUCAACUCAAAAUGGCAGGGUAGAAGGAAUAUGUGGAGUACGCUGAGGGACGGGCAGCUGGCUUUUAUAUGCGGUUGACAGUUUCGACGAUGAUUCAUAUGAUGCCCUUUUAUAUGUACGACGAGGUAAGGUAUUGCCUUGGGAAUUGUUUAGUGUUUUUUAGAUCCUUGGGCUUGUAUUGCUCUGUAGUAGGUCUUUUAGAAAUCUUUCAUUCACCUUCCGUUUUUUCUGAUAUUGGUUACUCUUCAAAUAAAGAAAUUGCUACUUUAAAACUUUAGCUGUCCUAAUGAGUAAAUCCUAAUAAGUGUCACAAAUACAUGGUUGUGAUAAUUGUCUUCCGUAACUGUUCUGACAAUAGAUCCACCCCCACAGCGGAGAGGAUCUAAGUUUCCCGUAAUAUUAUAAAGGCUAGGCUCAGAUAAUGUAUUACUUUUUAGUUCAUUUUUGGUGAUCAGUCUUUCGUGUUCAAUAAUAGUACUCCCGACCUUCGGUAUGUAAGAAAAAUCCUUUUUUUCUAUGUCUGUCAAAUGACUCGAUGUUUGAAAUUUCAUGUUUCAUAUGAGAUUGUUAAAUUGCAUAUAACCGUUAUAGACCUUUUUUAGCCAAUGAGAGCUAUUUGAAGCACAUAAUCAAAUUGAGCCAACAACAACAACUGUAAGCAUGACGCGACUUCACGCGCUUUUAAUUGGUUUUCCGUAUCUAUGAAAGUGUUGUCCACAUGAUCCACUUAAAUAUAUCCAACUUUCUAAUAUAUGCCUUUUGUCAAAAGCCAAUCUUUACUAUUCUGCAUUUUGUUCUACGGUUGUUUCUUCCUUUGUGAAAUCCAGAAUUAUUAUCAGAGAUGUUUUUUGGGGUAAUUCUUUUUGUUGAUGUUCUUGGUGCAGAGCAUUGGGUUAGAGAGUAGCUGGAGCAGGAAUGUAACGAGGCAGCAUCCUUUCAAUUUGUGGACCUCAGAAAAUAGGAAGGAGGAAGGAAAUUUUGGGAGAGAGGAUGCUGCUGCUGGAGGAGAGACUGCGCAAGCCGCCCACGCAAGUUAUUCCGUGGACCACCGAUAAAUAGGAGAAUGCAUGGCAAGGGGACCGCUCUGGCAGACAUGCAUCUCCAGUGACUCCAGGACCUCCCAAAUGCUUUUCUACCUCUUGCGAAAUCUUUCUUUGCUGCAAAUAUUGGCACUGUCCUCCCCAUUUUCCAGGCAUAGCUCUAGGCCAAUGCUCCUAUAUUCUAUACAUAAACUUUUAUCUCAAAGUUUUGAUCUGAGCAACCUUGACUGACCAAAACAGAUGAAUGGCUGGUUUCACAUUAUUUAAUCGUCUAGAUCAUUUUCAAGCAUUAUUGGUUAUGAACUAACUUGCUCGUGAGAAGAGCCUUACAAGGAGAGAGAGGAAAACAGGUUACACACACAAACAACGGACAUGUUCAGGCUGGUACCUUUCGAUGUGCAUCAUAAUUUCAUUUAUGGAGCUCUUACUGCCAGUGUUAUUUAAGAUGUUCCCAAACAUGUAGACAUCUACUACUAUCCAGUAUCCAGAACGAGAUGAAAGAAGAGAUGAAAGAAGAGGUAAUAACCUAUCCCUUAUUGGCCAGCCAGGAAUAUUAAUAAAUCUCAUAUAUGCUCAAAGUGAUGCAUUACAUCGCACACCAGCUGAGCUCGCCGUUUUCUUCCACGCGCGGCUCAUCGAGUGUACACCUCACUCAUCAUUGGAUUCUUUAAAGCUACAAAUAUCUGUAAUGCCUUGAAGGCUAUUGAACUUUGUUGUAAAUAUAUUCUAGAAAUUCGAUUGGAUUUGUGUCCGCUAAAUAAAUCAAAAUGUGCACCUGAUGCUGAUUUGGAGACAAAUACAGGGGCACACGAAGAGGCUACUAAUAUUAUAUGAGUAUGCCUUUAAAAGGAAAUGUGAGAACUUCUUUUCUGAUGCAUUGUCCGACACUGCUUAUUGUAUUUUUCAAUGGUUUAUCCUUUGCCCCAUCAAUUUCCAGAAUAUAUCACUUGAGCUUGCUGCCAGUGCUGCUAAAUUCAACAUGCCGGCAUAAUUUAUCACGGCAUUUCAAGUUAAGAUGUUGACAAUGCUUAAGAAAACAACCACUGUAUCACCACCAAUAUGUUAAAAUACAAUAAAAGUAGUCUCAGAUACCCUUUAUUAUGAGGAGUAGCAUACCUUUUUUUAGUGGCGUUUCUAAGAAUUUGAGUGCAUUCUUCAAAUAUAAUCAUUUCUUUGUGCUAACAUCCUGCUUUCAUUUUAUAUCUUGAUGUACAGAUAUGCUGUGUUCUACUUGACCACAGUUUAAAGUUUUCUUUAUUCCACAAUAUCUCUGGCUAUGUUGUGAAUGAACAACCAGAUGGACUGUGUUGUACCUUCUGUAAAGUCAUCUGCCACAAUGGAUGAACGCAUGGCUUUCAGUUGCACUUACCAUUGCAGAUGACACUGAGAAGGUCUUUGCACGGUAUGUCAGGCAAACUACUGUAGAAUUCCUUCAAUAUGCCCCGUAUCCGCACACUACUGCCUCAGUACCAAGUGUAAUGCCACAUCAGGCUUUGGUAAGUUAGCGUAAGAGUUGGCACGUCCAGCAUCAGGCUAUUGUAGUUUCUUUGGCCAAUUAGAAUGGGAACAGAGACCAGAAACUAAAAUACUACAUUGUUUGUUUUCCAUCAUGUAGUCUUCCUUUUGUGUGAGAUUUUGCAAAUUGGAAGUAGUAUUCGUGCCGAUUCCUGGCAUUGUGCAAA